AUCACUUCUCGGCCUUUUGGCUAAGAUCAAGUGUAAAAUCACCUUUGGAGAGUGUUUAAAACAAACUCCAGGGCCUCUAGAGGUCCUCAUUCAGUAGGUUUGGGGCAGGGAGAGCCUUGACAUGUUAAAUGAGCCUUGGGGUGAUUCUGAUGUUUCCUUGCACCAGUGGAGCAGGAGUUACUCUUCA
rnacentral:snRNA from 1 species